rnacentral:rRNA from 1 species
GAUGAACGCUAGCUACAGGCUUAACACAUGCAAGUCGAGGGGAAACGACAGUAAAGCUUGCUUUAUUGGGCGUCGACCGGCGCACGGGUGCGUAACGCGUAUCCAACCUGCCCACCACUUGGGAAUAACCUUGCGAAAGUAAGACUAAUACCCAAUGACGUCUCUAGAAGACAUCUGAAAGAGAUUAAAGAUUUAUCGGUGAUGGAUGGGGAUGCGUCUGAUUAGCUUGUUGGCGGGGUAACGGCCCACCAAGGCGACGAUCAGUAGGGGUUCUGAGAGGAAGGUCCCCCCACAUUGGAACUGAGACACGGUCCAAACUCCUACGGGAGGCAGCAGUGAGGAAUAUUGGUCAAUGGGCGGAAGCCUGAACCAGCCAAGUAGCGUGAGGGAUGACUGCCCCAUGGGUUGUAAACCUCUUUUAUAAGGGAAUAAAAUACGGGACGUGUCCUGUUUUGCAUGUACCUUAUGAAUAAGGACCGGCUAAUUCCGUG